GACGGAGGGGGCUAGCGUUGUUCGGAAUUACUGGGCGUAAAGGGCGCGUAGGCGGCAAAUCAAGUUAGGCGUGAAAUCCCUGGGCUUAACCUAGGAACUGCGUCUAAUACUGGUUAGCUAGAGAUUGGUAGAGGAAAGUGGAAUUCCUAGUGUAGAGGUGAAAUUCGUAGAUAUUAGGAAGAACACCAGAGGCGAAGGCGACUUUCUGGGCCAAUACUGACGCUGAGGCGCGAAAGCGUGGGGAGCAAACAGGG
rnacentral:rRNA from 1 species